rnacentral:rRNA from 1 species
UGUUUCCAGUGGCGAACAGGUGAGUAACGCGUAAGAACCUGCCCUUGAGAGGGGAACAACAACUGGAAAUGGUUGCUAAUACCCCGUAGGCUGAGGAGCAAAAGGAGAAAUCCGCCCAAGGAGGGGCUCGCGUCUGAUUAGCUAGUUGGUGAGGUAAUAGCCUACCAAGGUGAUGAUCAGUAGCUGGUCCGAGAGGAUGAUCAGCCACACUAGGACUGAGACACGGCCCAG